rnacentral:lncRNA from 1 species
AAGAAUCCCAAACUUAAACAACUAACGGUCUCCAUUCCUCGCCCCCCCAGUAAUUAUUUGCAUCACAAAUAAGAGGUCCCCUCAUUUACAUUUAUUUACAGAUUAACUACUUGAGGUUUGAGUGGUUCUGAAAACUUCAAAAGGUAUUAGAGCCACCCAGCCUUUGAGAGACCUUCAGAGACUGGGCAGGAAUUUUGUAUGAAAGGAGAUAUUUGGGUCCAGAAGACAGGUAGGAUGCACAGAGGACUCUAGUCCCACUGCUGAACUGAGUGCUUCUGCUGACAAUAAGAGUCAUGGACACCUGUUAGCUGCUCAGCUUUCCUGGGAGUCUGGAAUGAGGCUUGUGAGUGCGGAAGUUUAACAGGUGACAGAGAUGACCCUUGUCAUCA